AGAUUAAGAAUACUCGCAUGGAGUUGGAAACACUGCCGAGCAGCCCAGAUCAUUUUUACUCCCCUACUAUUUUCUUCCCUGCCCAUCCAGUCGACAAUCAUUGUCUUCAAUUCCCAAAAAUGAAAAAACUCGUUCUUGAUUUUAUAAGUUUUGUCUGUUUGUUGCUUGUGCGUAACUGUGGUGUUACUCUAUUUGAAUCUGAAGCAUAUUUUGAUAUGUAAUUGAUUCGGGAAACAGUUCCAAGAAUCCAAAUCUUUAACUGGUCCGUUGAUAAAUGAAUCUCCCGAAAUUGGUACGUUGCAUUAAGCUGUGGCGGGCCAGGGAUAGAGAAGACGACACGAGGUAUAAUGACGGAGAACCCACACGUAGUGUAACGGAGUGGUGCGAGAGGGCAGCAGCUGCCAGCGGCAUUACCAACCGCCGCAGACAGAUGGCAGGUCGAGUCACUGAAAUGCACGUUGAAGUAUGGUCCAUCAGCACCGCUUGCAUGUGACUGCAAUUAGUGACAUGUUCGCUUAAAGUAGUCAGUAUUGUGUGUUUUCGUGCUGAAUAAACCAACAGUGCUGUGCGUUUAGCUGUACUUUCGAAAUCAAGAAGAGAGGGAUGCAAUAAGAAGAAGAAUAUGGCUGAUGAACAUCUGCAGAGCUAACUGGCAGAACGCAAAGGCAACUGCAUUGUGUGAAAUGGGAGACAGUGCCUUGUCCCUCAUCAGGUUUCUCCAGCUUUUGGCUGUUGGCUGAAGGGGUGAAGUGCUCUGUCUGUUGGCAGGAAAUGCGAUUGAUGAAAGUUUCGUUGUUUUGGACCAUGGAUAGCUACAUGUGGAGGUGCCGUAGCGAUAACCUAUGGUGCUCUAUAAGGUGUACUUUUGAAGCCAAGAAGAGAGGGAAGCAGCGAUAAGAAGAAUAUGGCUGAUGAACAUCUGAAGAGCAAACAGCAUUGUGUUGAGCAGAAUAGACUUACACAAAUUCGGUGGACCAAAGGCUGCAGUUGGACUCUUCACUGAUGAUGAGAAAUGGAAAACAUCAGAGGGUCAGCCAGCAUGCAAGUGUUUCUCGCCUUUGAUAAGUUUGAUUGCUUUUUAAUCACUUUACCCCAGACGAGUUUGAAACCAACAGAACUGGUGGAGUGGUAAAACGUAAACCAAAUGCUGUGCCGACCAUAUUUGGUGACUGUAAGCCAACACUGGUACGCAAAGCUCAUGCUGAGAGGAAACCUGUUGGCUUCCUAGAGAAACGUACUGAGGAUACAGAGGUUGAAGAGCGUUCAAAUGUGACCAGUGACAUAAGUCCUGCAGAGAACUUGGGCACAACUGAAGAUGAAGUCACCACCCUGAAAAACCUAGUCCAACAGCUUCAGACUGGAAUUGAAGCUUUAAAGAGAAAACUCAACCUCUCUCAGAAAGGGAGAGGAGAGUGUAUUUAGGAAAAGACAACCUCAUUGCCAGUCUGCAUGGCUUAUUCAGUGCAGAUAUGUUUGCAGUAAGAACAAAGGGGACAUGCGGUGGAAACACUGCAGACAGGGCUAAAAAUUAGAGUAGCUUGUGGUGGUAUGGGGUACAAAGUCCUGCUGGAAAAUAAAUUACCAUUUCCUUCAGACAGAACCCCAAUAUGUUCGCUACAGAACAUCAAAUUUAGACCUUGUGUGCUGAGGGAGCUUGUGAGUUCCCUGAAAGUCAAGCUUUACCUCAUGUUACCAGAGCAAAAGCAUGCUGUUCUCAUGAUGUAUGAGGUUAGUAUCACUCCAUCAUUGGAAUGUGAUUGAAGCAUUGGCAGCGCUAUAGGAUACAACACCUCCAUCAAAUCUUGCCUUUGCAGCAACUAGAGCUUCUCAUGCAUUAAUUGUUAUGCUGGGUGGUAUUACCUCAAGAUGGAAACAAACAACAGUUUACCAUUACACAGGGCCAUCUUUUUCCAUUUUUCAUGCCUAAAACAUCAUAAUAAGCACUAUUAAAGAAUCUUAGGCACUUGGUAUCAAUGUUCACUAUGUUGUGUCAGAUAGGGGGGGGGGGGGGCAAAAUCUAGUUGUAUGGUGAGAAUUUGGAAUUGUUGUGGCUGGUUUUCAGAAUUAUUCAAUUUCUGCCAGUAUCCUUGUGAUAAGAGGAAGCUAAUUUCAUCGCAAAUACACUACCAUUUUGAGAAAUAUGAGGAACCACUUAGUCAAUGGGCAAUCAGUCUUCCUUUCACAAAAUGUUAUUGAGGAACAUGAUCUACCUGGUAAUGAGGUACAUAUAAAUCGUGUAAAACAGUUGCAUGAGAUAGACAACGGCUUAAGUCUUAAACUAGCACCACAACUGUGUUAGGGUGUUUGGUGCCAAACCGUUAUGAUAAAAUGAAAGUUGGCUUAGCUACUGCCCUAAUUAACUGAAAGACUGCAGCAGCCAUUGAGUACGUGUUCAAGACAGUGAAACUGCAGAAAAAAAGUUUUAGCCACAGUGUGGUUUCUAAAACACAUUCAUAAAUGGGUUGCCUCAUCACAUCUAGAACAGCAGUUAUGGCUCUGAGUCAUUCUGAUGAACGAACAUAAGGCGAGGCUCUCUGUCGUCUUGAGGACACUCUGUGUUAAUUUAAAAACUUGGAAAUUGGCCUGAAGUGUGCCUGGAAACUAGUUCAGUCUGGUGUGGUUUUGACAGCUGGAGGUAUUUUGGAAUUGUAGGACACAUUCCUGAAUGAGAAGAAAUUUAAAUUUUUGCUAAUAAGUAGAUUUACACAAGGUAUCUUGGAAAAUCUGUUUGCAAUGCUCCACUUCACAAAUCCACUACCAACACUACGAGAAGCGAAUUCAGCACUGAGGGUUAUUACUCUUCCUCAGUUCUGCCACUGGUAAUAAUGAGACUUAGGACAGUAGUUUCCAGACAGAACUAGUGAGGGAAUCUGUAAGUGAAGAUGAGGGUAAGUGUGCUGAAAAAGUUGAUGAGCCACUUUGUAAUAUGGUGUGUGAUUAUGAGCAACAGUAUCUAUAAUAUUUAUGUAGUAACACUUUCAGGCAAGAUGUGAAGCAUCAUGCACUUUGAAAGUUUUGUGAGGAGGGCCCAACUGCAUCUAGAGAAAAUGUCUAUACGUCUGUGAACAUGCUUUUACAUCUAAAAUCCUUUACAGAGAUCUCACUUAUUGAGCCAUCAAGUGAGGUUUUCUGUGUAUUUCAAACGGCAGAGAUGUAUUUGAGAAGCAACAAGAAGAUAUUACUCUUACGUGAAUGGUUGCUCUCUGAUAUAGCCACUUCAGUGGUUGCAUCAGUGAAGGAGAAAGUAGUUUUCCCAGUCUGCCACAGUGUACAGGAGAAAAUAAUUCAUAGUUUCUUGGCAACAAGAGUUCAUCUGCUUCGAAUGGAGGGAAAUAAAAAAUAUCAGCGUCUAGUGACACAAGGCAGUAGAACAUGGACAUGAGAAAAUUAGUGCAGAAACUGUGACUUCCAAAAUCACUUUUUUAUAAAUGAUUUGAAAAACUGACAUUCAAACUUCUUUUGGUUGUCAUAAACACUUUGGCACAAAAUGUCGUUAACAUGUUCUCUUCAGAUGAUCUCAUUUAUGUUUAAUUUACAGUGAUUUUUAUUUUUGUUCCAUGUUUCUUUCUCUGAGUAUGGAAUGUUCUUAUUAUCUCAUGUAAUAUUUGUUACAUUUUGCAAGUAGACUAUUUCCCUGUCAAGGGUUUGGAAUGAUGCAAUAUAAAUAAAAACUUUGUCCUUCAA